rnacentral:rRNA from 1 species
UGGGGAAUUUUGCACAAUGGGGGAAACCCUGAUGCAGCGACGCCGCGUGAUUUAGAAGGCCUUCGGGUUGUAAAAAUCUUUUCUAUGGGAAGAAAAUGACAGUACCAUAGGAAUAAGGACCGGCUAAUUACGUGCCAGCAGCCGCGGUAAUACGUAAGGUCCGAGCGUUGUCCGGAAUCAUUGGGCGUAAAGGGUACGUAGGCGGGUAAGCAAGUUAGAAGUGAAAUCCUAUAGCUCAACUAUAGUAAGCUUUUAAAACUGCUCAUCUUGAGGUAUGGAAGGGAAAGUGGAAUUCCUAGUGUAGCGGUGAAAUGCGCAGAUAUUUGGAGGAAUACCGGUGGCGAAGGCGACUUUCUGGCCAUAACCUGACGCUGAGGUACGAAAGCGUGGGUAGCAAACAGG